UACGAGGGGGGCGAGCGUUGUUCGGAAUUAUUGGGACGUAAAGGGUGCGUAGGCGGUUUGGUAAGUCUUAUGUUGAAAUCUAUGGGCUCAACUCAUAGACUGCAUGAGAAACUGCCGGGCUUGAGUAUGGGGAGAGGUGAGUGGAAUUCCUGGUGUAGCGGUGAAAAUGCGUAGAUAUCAGGAGGAACACCUGUGGCGAAAGCGGCUCACUGGACCAAUAACUGACGCUGAUGCACGAAAGCUAGGGGAGCAAACAGG
rnacentral:rRNA from 1 species